AAAACCUUAUUGGUUUUUAUCUUCGUUGAAGAAGACUAAAGACUGACAAAAAAAUACAACCGAAAAAAGAUGUUUAAACAGGUUCGGCAAGGUUUGAUCAAGUCUAUAUGUUUUGCCCAUAUAAAAGCCACUAGAAUUUUCGACUCUUCUCCAGUCAGGAAGUCAAUCUAGAAAGAGAGCAGUUCUCAAAAUCAGCAGCAGAAAAUCUCCGAAAUGCGUGCAUUUGUGCUUUUGUUGGCCUGCCUGGCUGUGGCGUCCGCCCAGUUCUCCGGAUCGUCCAGCGGUACUCGGUCCGUGUCGAUUACGGCAUAGCCGGCGGCCUUCGAGCAGACCGUGACUAGCGGUGGAAGUUCUGGUGGAUUCGGCUCGGCUGGCCUCUCUGGGCGAUCAUUCGGUUCCGGAAGCGGUGCUCGAUACAACGCUGGAUAUCAGGCGGGGCUUGCCGCUGGACGUGCUGCCAUCGCUAGAGGAGCUUUAGGUGACCGAACUGGAAGUGGUUCUUCCUCGGCUCUCGGCGGUGCUUCUGCUGCUGCUAGUGCUGGCGCUUCCGCUGGUAGUUUUAGUGGUGCUGGUGGUUCAUUCAACGAUCGUGGAACAGGUAUCUUAAAUUUGCCACAAAGCUCCUUCGGCCUGCUUGGUAGUGGUUCCUCACCGUCUAGCAGUGGCACUACCGCUGCUGCCGGUGCUGCUGGCUUUGGUGGUGGAUUUGAUCAAGCUGGAACUGGCCGAUUAAAAUCCUUCAAAAGACCUGCUCAGAUGAGAUAUACCGUUGUAGUAACGGCACAUUCUGAAUGAACACUGUAAGGUCUCCUUCAAAACAUGUUUGGUUCAGUACUCAAUUUGUAUUCGUGUAAAUAAAUCUCCCCUUUUUGCACCUUGA